UGUAAUCUGAUUCAUUAUGAUAUAGGAUCAGGUCCCUCCUCUCCAUGUAAUCUGAUUCAUUAUGAUCUAGGAUCAGGUCCCUCCUCUCCAUGUAAUCUGAUUCAUUAUGAUCUAGGAUCAGGUCCCCCCUCUCCAUGUAAUCUGAUUCAUUAUGAUCUAGGAUCAGGUCCCUCCUCUCCAUGUAAUCUGAUUCAUUAUGAUCUAGGAUCAGGUCCCUCCUCUCCAUGUAAUCUGAUUCAUUAUGAUCUAGGAUCAGGUCCCCCCUCUCCAUGUAAUCUGAUUCAUUAUGAUCUAGGAUCAGGUCCCCCCUCUCCAUGUAAUCUGAUUCAUUAUGAUCUAGGAUCAGGUCCCCCCUCUC
rnacentral:lncRNA from 1 species